AGUCACUGACAUUAGAUACCCGGGUAGUCCAGGGUGUAAACGCUGCGGGCUUGGUGUUGGGGGGUCCUUUGAGGGCGCCCAGUGCCGGAGAGGAGUUGUUAAGCCUGCUGCUUGGGGAGUACGUCCGCAAGGAUGAAACUUAAAGGAAUUGGCGGGGGAGCACCGCAACGGGAGGAGCGUGCGGUUCAAUUGGAUUCAACGCCGGACAACUCACCAGGAGCGACGGUUACAUGAAGGCCAGGCUGAUGACCUUGCCUGAUUUUCCG
rnacentral:rRNA from 1 species